rnacentral:lncRNA from 12 species
ACGGUGGAUGUGAUGACUGAAGAACACCGGGAGGCGCAGGCUCAAGACUGGCUGGGGUUCCCUGGUGUCUGAAGACUGAAUUUCCGACCAGCAGAUGGGCAUCGUCACGGCGUCCCUUGCAGUCUCAUCUCUGCUUCUGCUCCCUCCGUGCUAUUCCCCGUCCACACAAACCUGACCUCCCACUCCCCAAGCAAGCUCUCGUGGAGGCGUCGUUGACAGUUUGAUGGACGAAGGACUCACUGUGGGCUUGAUUGGGUUUCAAUCAUGGAAACCCAAAACUAAAAGAUAUCUUAAGCACCCAGCCCUACAAGAUCCUGGCUUCGUCCUGGCUGAGCCCCCCAGGUCAGAGCUUUGGAGCCAUCAUUUCUGACAUCAUCCAGAAGGGUGGCAUUAGGGACACGAAAUCUUGAGAUUCUUCUGUCCUCCGAGUCCUUAGACUGGAG